AUCUCCCUUAAAUCGCCAUCAGUGUGCAUAUUUGAAGCUCCUUUUAUCAAUCCAACUCAAAAAAACCUUUCCUCUAGCUUUGGAACAGAUUCUUGUUUCUUCUGUGGAAAAUCAGAUAAACUAGUUGGCUUGCAUUGGGCAUUCAAAUUGUUUCAAAAAAAUUUUUUUAUUGGGGUAAGAGAGGCAUUCUUUAAUUCUCCUCCCCCACCCUCCAGGUUUGGUGUCGUUUUCAACUUCAGUUGAAUGCAAGUUAACGUGUGGUAUGACUCCACUGAAUAUGACAGGCAUUUCAGUGUCCCUUCAGUAGAAUCCAUGGAAGAAAUGGCAUUUGAGAGAGGUUCUGACGGCUGAGUGGGACUGAAACAAAGGGAAAAGAACCUUUCCAGGGAAGGGAAUGGCACCGGCAUGCGCACUGUCAGCUCAGCAGUGAGAACAGAAGACAGAACACAAAGGACAACGCCUGGGAGGAGGAAGAACACUAAGCAAGCAUGAUGACUGUUUUCUUAAAUUAGAAGAUAAGAGGAAGAUAAGGCAACAGCUUAAAGGAAAGAGACUGAAUAAUUGAAGAGCUCAUUGCUUCCUCGGAUUUGAAUCAUCCAUGCCUAGGUGACUGAUGGCUGACCCUGGACAGCAACAGCAUCAGCUGACUGCCAGAGCAACAAACUAAACAGAACACUGACACUUUCACCUUCACCGACUGACGUCCUGGGAGAGGAGAAUGGCUAACAAUUAAGUCAACCACUGACCAUACCUAAGUAAUGAGGCCUCCAGAAAACAACCAAAAGGACAGUGUCUGGAAGCUCCUGGGUUGCAGAAAACAUGGAGGUGUGUCAGGACAGUGGGCUGCUGUUAUGAUGUAUCACUGUCAUGAUUCCUGUAAAUAAGUUAGCAUUUUAAUUAUGACCAAUAUUACCAUGCUUUUACAGAACAAACUCCAUUUUGAGGCUUUUAUUUUACAACAGAAGGUGUAACUGAGCCAAGUGGCUGGCUUUCAGUCACCUUACACCAGAUGAUGGACAGCCAUACAGUCAGCUAUGUAUCAGUAUGCAAAUGGAAUGGUGGGUAUCUGGGUCUUUUCCCUCCAAGGUUGACAUCUGAAAGCUGAGAUAAUAUGCCUUUUGGGACUAUAAAUAGCUGUACCUUCAGGUUGCCACUUGAGCCACAUCUCACUGCCUCCAUUCUUUGCAAAUAUUCACUUUGAGUUGGUAUCAAGUGCUAGAGGCUCUGUGGAGUGAACAAGACCUUUAAGUCACUGCUAAUGACUUCAUGGCUAUCCACACCAGUUCCAGUGUCACCCUGCAGAAAUUAACCUCCCAGACCCUUGGACUGCUUCUUCCCUGGACUCACAAUGUUUGGUUCAUUACAAGAACUGUGUGCUCCUGUGUUCACUUUUACCUGAUUUUUCAUAUAUUCUUUAUCUUAGUUUUGCUUAUUCUGCUUUUGUGUCUAUUUCAAUAAACUGACUAAUUCAUGACUA